GAUGAACUCUGCCGGCGUGCCUAAUACAUGCAAGUCGAGCGAACGGACGAGGAGCUUGCUUCUAUGAUGUUAGCGGCGGACGGGUGAGUAACACGUGGAUAACCUACCUAUAAGACUGGGAUAACUUCGGGAAACCGGAGCUCAUACCGGAUAAUAUUUUGAACCGCAUGGUUCAAAAGUGAAAGACGGUCUUGCUGUCACUUAUAGAUGGAUCCGCGCUGCAUUAGCUAGUUGGUAAGGUAACGGCUUACCAAGGCAACGAUGCAUAGCCGACCUGAGAGGGUGAUCGGCCACACUGGAACUGAGACACGGUCCAGACUCCUACGGGAGGCAGCAGUAGGGAAUCUUCCGCAAUGGGCGAAAGCCUGACGGAGCAACGCCGCGUGAGUGAUGAAGGUCUUCGGAUCGUAAAACUCUGUUAUUAGGGAAGAACAUAUGUGUAAGUAACUGUGCACAUCUUGACGGUACCUAAUCAGAAAGCCGCGGCUAACUACGUG
rnacentral:rRNA from 1 species